rnacentral:rRNA from 1 species
CAAUAGCGUAUAUUAAAGUUGUUGCAGUUAAAAACGCUCGUAGUCGGAUUUCGGGGCCUGCCUGCCGGUCUGCCGAUGGGUAUGCACUGGCAGGCGCGUCCUUCCUUCCGGAGACUGUCCCUACUCUUAACUGAGCGGGGUCGGGAGACGGAUCGUUUACUUUGAAAAAAUCAGAGUGUUUCAAGCAGGCAUAUUGUUCUUGCAUGGAUUAGCAUGGGAUAAUGAAAUAGGACUUUGGUGCUAUUUUGUUGGUUUCGAACACCGAAGUAAUGAUUAACAGGGACAGUCAGGGGCACUCGUAUUCCGCCGAGAGAGGUGAAAUUCUCAGACCAGCGGAAGACGAACUACUGCGAAAGCAUUUGCCAGGAUGUUUCACUGAUCAAGACGAAAGUUAGGGGAUCGAAGACGAUUAGAUACCAU